AAUUAUUUCUUUGCCUUGAUCUUACAUUUUUUCGCUUUGCUCCUAGUUCUACCGAUCGUUUUCGUACUUAAUUUCAUGAUCAUGAUGCGCUCUGGAUCCAGUGGUACUGGUGCCGAUCCCCACUGGUCGACCCCGGACCAGUCGAAGUGACGACUGACGGGCAACGCUAAAUAGCCCAAGCAAGCGACCAAGCUGGAGUAUUCUCUGGUUUCUCCAUCAAAUUCCUAGCCACUAUCCAACCUCUCAUUCAAGUAUUAGGUAACCUUCUUCAAUUAAAGUGUCAGAACUCAGACACUGCUCCAUUCCAGACACACGGUACAAUCAUGUCACUUGUCAUUGCAGCCGUCUGUGUUUACUUCGUGGCAUUUAUGGAGAUAACCCGGCCAGUUCGAAACACGAGGUACCUCCUUGCCGCUCGGAUUCUCUGCGGAAUUUCGGGUGUUCUGACCAGUAUUUUACUAGCACUGAUCCUCUUCCCUCCCGUUGGAUGGGUUAUGCUAACUUUAUAUACUAUUAGGGCAUUACACGACUUAUUUCCACUGAUCACUACUGAAUUGCUCGUUCAUGGUAUCUCUCUCGAGAUGUUAUAUGGCAGCUUAUUCAAACAGACUUUCAAUCGAACUCGUCGAGCAGAAGCAAGCCCUCAAGCAUCUAACGACAACCCAGUGGGGCAAGAGGCAGGCGAUGAUGGUGCCCAUCAAGCAGAAGCAGGCCCUCGAGCAACUAAUGCUAACUUCAUGAAGCAAGAGGGUGGCGAUCAUGGUCCGAUCGAAAUUUGUGUGUGAGGUCCGAUCUAGAAUUUUCUUUCUUUGUUGGUGCAUGCAUGUUGUUUGUGUGCAUGUGGGAUUGCUGACCGCAAUGCCCUAGUAAUUGUUGGACGUCGUUUGGUUUCUCAUGUAUUAAUAAUUGUUCUCGAUCGGUUGCUGGCCGCCGGUUAUCAUGAUAUUGUUAUAGAAUGUGGCUAUGUUACUGCUGCCAAUAUUUGUUGUUUACCAA